AGGUUUGAAUUCGCCAGUUCCUAC
rnacentral:siRNA from 1 species